AGAGUUUGAUCAUGGCUCAGGAUGAACGCUGGCGGCGUGCUUAACACAUGCAAGUCGAGCGAAGCAGUUAAGUUGAUUUCUUCGGAUUGAUUCUUAACUGACUGAGCGGCGGACGGGUGAGUAACGCGUGGGUGACCUGCCCCAUACCGGGGGAUAACAGCUGGAAACGGCUGCUAAUACCGCAUAAGCGCACAGAGCUGCAUGGCUCGGUGUGAAAAACUCCGGUGGUAUGGGAUGGGCCCGCGUCUGAUUAGGCAGUUGGCGGGGUAACGGCCCACCAAACCGACGAUCAGUAGCCGGCCUGAGAGGGCGACCGGCCACAUUGGGACUGAGACACGGCCCAAACUCCUACGGGAGGCAGCAGUGGGGAAUAUUGCACAAUGGGGGAAACCCUGAUGCAGCGACGCCGCGUGAGCGAAGAAGUAUUUCGGUAUGUAAAGCUCUAUCAGCAGGGAAGAUAAUGACGGUACCUGACUAAGAAGCCCCGGCUAACUACGUGCCAGCAGCCGCGGUAAUACGUAGGGGGCAAGCGUUAUCCGGAUUUACUGGGUGUAAAGGGAGCGUAGACGGCAAGGCAAGUCUGAUGUGAAAACCCAGGGCUUAACCCUGGGACUGCAUUGGAAACUGUCUGGCUCGAGUGCCGGAGAGGUAAGCGGAAUUCCUAGUGUAGCGGUGAAAUGCGUAGAUAUUAGGAAGAACACCAGUGGCGAAGGCGGCUUACUGGACGGUAACUGACGUUGAGGCUCGAAAGCGUGGGGAGCAAACAGGAUUAGAUACCCUGGUAGUCCACGCUGUAAACGAUGAUUACUAGGUGUGGGGGGACUGACCCCUUCCGUGCCGCAGCAAACGCAAUAAGUAAUCCACCUGGGGAGUACGACCGCAAGGUUGAAACUCAAAGGAAUUGACGGGGGCCCGCACAAGCAGUGGAGUAUGUGGAUUAAUUCGAAGCAACGCGAAGAACCUUACCAGGUCUUGACAUCGUAUGCAUAGCUCAGAGAUGAGUGAAAUCUCUUCGGAGACAUAUAGACAGGUGGUGCAUGGUUGUCGUCAGCUCGUGUCGUGAGAUGUUGGGUUAAGUCCCGCAACGAGCGCAACCCUUACUGUUAGUUGCUACGCAAGAGCACUCUAGCAGGACUGCCGUUGACAAAACGGAGGAAGGUGGGGAUGACGUCAAAUCAUCAUGCCCCUUAUGACCUGGGCCUCACACGUACUACAAUGGCUGUCAACAGAGGGAAGCAAAGCCGCGAGGUGGAGCGAACCCCUAAAAGCAGUCUUAGUUCGGAUUGUAGGCUGCAACCCGCCUACAUGAAGUCGGAAUUGCUAGUAAUCGCAGAUCAGCAUGCUGCGGUGAAUACGUUCCCGGGCCUUGUACACACCGCCCGUCACGCCAUGGGAGUCGGUAACACCCGAAGCCUGUAGUCUAACCGCAAGGAGGACGCAGUCGAAGGUGGGAUUGAUGACUGGGGUGAAGUCGUAACAAGGUA
rnacentral:rRNA from 1 species